rnacentral:rRNA from 1 species
UACGGGGGGAGCAAGCGUUGUUCGGAUUUACUGGGCGUAAAGGGCGCGUAGGCGGCCAGCGCAAGUCAGUUGUGAAAUCUCCGGGCUUAACUCGGAACGGUCAACUGAUACUGCGCGGCUAGAGUGCGGAAGGGGCAACUGGAAUUCUCGGUGUAGCGGUGAAAUGCGUAGAUAUCAAGAGGAACACCUGAGGCGAAGGCGGGUUGCUAGGCUGACACUGACGCUGAGUGCGCGAAAGCCAGGGGAGCAAACGGG